rnacentral:rRNA from 1 species
AUUGAACGCUGGCGGCAGGCUUAACACAUGCUAGUCAAGCGAGCGGCGGACGGGUGAGUAAUGUCUGGGAAUCUGCCCGAUGGAGGGGGAUAACUACUGGAAACGGUAUCUAAUACCGCAUACCAUCAGAUGUGCCCACAUGGGACUAGCUAGUAGGUGGGGUAAUGGCUAACCUAGGCGACGAUCCCUAGCUGGUAUGAGAGGAGGACCAGACACACUGGAACUGAGAGACGGUCCAGACUCCUACGGGAGGCAGCAGUGGGGAAUAGUGAACAAUGGGCGCAAGCCUGAUGCAGCCAUGCCGCGUGUGUGAAGAAGGCCUUCGGGUUGUAAAGCACUUUCAGCGAGGAGGCGUUACUCGCAGAAGAAGCACCGGCUAACUCCGUGCCAGCCGCCGCGGUAAUAC